rnacentral:ncRNA from 1 species
AUAGUCGCACAACUCCGAGUGUAUUACAGCUAAAGCAGUUAGCCAUGCUUAUUACACCGACAGGGUUUAAAGGGAAAUCUUUGGGCCUCCCGGAAUGGAAAGGAGUGAUCGAUUUGGAUUA